rnacentral:rRNA from 1 species
AGGCCCGCAGCGAUACUGACGUGCAAAUCGUUCGUCUGACUUGGGUAUAGGGGUGAAAGACUAAUCGAACCGUCUAGUAGUUGGUUCCCUCCGAAGUUUCCCUCAGGAUAACAGGAGCUCGCGUGCGAGUUCUAUCGGGUAAAGCCAAUGAUUAGAGGCCUCGGGGGCGCAACGCCCUCGACCUAUUCUCAAACUUUAAAUAGGUAGGACGGCGUGGCUGCUUGGCUGAGCCGCACCACGGAAUCAAGAGCUCCAAGUGGGCCAAUUUUGGUAAGAAGAACUGGCGAUGCGGGAUGAAUCGGAAGCCGGGUUAUGGUGCCAAACUGCGCGCUAACCUAGAUCCCACAAAGGGUGUUGGUAGAUUAAGACAGCAGGACGGUGGUCAUGGAAGUCGAAAUCCGCUAAGGAGUGUGUAACAAUUCACCUGUCGAAUCAACUAGCCCCGAAAAUGGAUGGCGCUUAAGCGCGCGACUACACCCGGCCGUCGGGGCAAGUGCCAGGCCCCGAUGAGUAAGAGGGCACGGCGGUCGCUGCAAAACCUUGGGCGCGAGCCCGGGCGGAGCGGCCGUCGGUGCAGAUCUUGGUGUUAGUAGCAAAUAUUCAAAUGAGAACUUUGAAAGCCGAAGUGGGGAAAGGUUCCAUGUGAACGGCACUUGCACACGGGUUAGUCGAUCCUAAUGGUCGGUGAAACCCCGACAGAUAGCGCGUUUCGCGCGUGCACCGAAAGGGAAUUGGGUUAAAAUUCCUGAACUGGGAUGUGGCGGUCGAUGGCAACGUUAGGAAGUCCGGAGACGUCGUUGGGAGCCUCGGGAAGAGUUAUCUUUUCUGUUUAACAGCCUACCCACCCUGGAAUCGGCUCAGCCGGAGGUAGGGUCCAGCGGCUGGAAGAGCACCGCACGUCGCGUGGUGUUCGGUGCGCUCCCGGCGGCCCUUGAAAAUCCGGAGGACCAAAUGCCGUCCACGCCCGUUCGUACUCAUAACCGCAUCAGGUCUCCAAGGUGAACAACCUCUGGUCGAUGGAAUAAUGUAGGCAAGGAAAGUCGGCAAAAUGGAUCCGUAACUUCGGGAAAAGGAUUGGCUCUGAGGGUUGGGCACGGGGGUCCCAGUCCCGAACCCGUCGGCUGUCGGUGGACUGCUCGAGCUGCUCCCGCGGUGAGAGCAGGUCGCCGCGUGUCGGUCGGGGGACGGACAGGGAACGGUUCCUUCGGGGGCCUUUCCCGCGCGUCGAACAGCCAACUUAGAAUUGGUACGGACAAGGGGAAUCCGACUGUUUGAUUAAAACAAAGCAUUGCGAUGUUCCCAACGGAUGUUCACGCAAUGUGAUUUCUGCCCAGUGCUCUGAAUGUCAAAGUGAAGAAAUUCAACCAAGCGCGGGUAAACGGCGGGAGUAACUAUGACUCUCUUAAGGUAGCCAAAUUCCUCGUCAUCUAAUUAGUGACGCGCAUGAAUGGAUUAACGAGAUUCCCACUAUUCCUGUCUACUAUCCAGCGAAACCACAGCCAAGGGAAUGGACUUGGCAGAAUCAGCGGGGAAAGAAGACCCUGUUGAGCGUGACUCUAGUCCUGCAUGCUGCUCUCGGGGCAAGCUCCUGGUGCUGCACGCAUGCGGCCGAGCCCAAUCUGCAGCGAGCGCCGGCGGCCGGCGUGGGCGACUCCCGCGCAUGAGCCUCGGCGUGCCUUCAUCUCCCCUGCUCACACUAAAGGAGGGCUAUCGUGUCAAGAGGGACUUUCUUCAGCCUUGCAACGUCCGCAUGGGCAGCAGCGCACGGCAUCUACUGCUGGGCGUUGGGGCCGGUGCUGGGCGUGCAUCGAUGGAGCAUUUGGACGCACGGCACGUGAGUUGUGUUUGGCACGUGCGGUUAGGUUGGAUCCCUGCUCGAGCAGCGACGUCCUGACCCGCCUGCCAUC